GGGUCCGGACACACUGAGGAUUGACAGGCAAUAUUAGUACGUGUUUCGGCGCGUAUUAUGUUAAAUAUGCUAGUCCUUUCAUGAUUAUGUGAUAGGUGGUGCAUGGCCGUUCUUAGUUCGUGGAGUGAUCUGUCUGCUUAAUUGCGUUUCACUAAGAAUCUAUCAAUACGUGCGUUGCGGCACUUUGACCCCUCUCUGAGCGCGCGUCUUAGUUGCUUAGCUCGCACAAUUAGGUUCUGAAAGCAACGAACGUGACCGCAACCUCUUGUUGCCUUUAUACCAAACACGUUUACUGCUUUUGCAGUAUUCGUGCAAAAAGGCUUUUUAAACUAGAGGGACCGCUGUUACUUUCUUAAACCAGAGGAAGGUUGCGGCAAUAACAGGUCUGUGAUGCCCUUAGAUGUUCCGGGCUGCACACGUGCUACAAUGAUUGUUGCAGUGAGCAUCUCAUUUUUACACACCGCAUGCGCGAGUCCAUUUAUUCACUUCGGUGCUUUAAAUGUGUAUUUCUGCGCGCGGUAAAGCCUGCUUCGAGAGUAAGUGGGU
rnacentral:rRNA from 1 species